rnacentral:rRNA from 1 species
AGCGAACGCUGGCGGCAGGCCUAACACAUGCAAGUCGAACGCCCAGCAAUGGGAGUGGCAGACGGGUGAGGAACACGUGGGAACGUGCCUUUUGGUUCGGAAUAACUCAGGGAAACUUGUGCUAAUACCGGAUAAGCCCUUCGGGGGAAAGAUUUAUCGCCAAAAGAUCGGCCCGCGUCUGAUUAGCUAGUUGGCGAGGUAAAGGCUCACCAAGGCGACGAUCAGUAGCUGGUCUGAGAGGAUGAUCAGCCACACUGGGACUGAGACACGGCCCAGACUCCUAGGGGAGGCAGCAGUGGGGAAUAUUGGAAAAUGGGGGCAACCCUGAUCCAGCCAGGCCGCGUGAGUGAUGAAGGUCUUCGGAUUGUAAAGCUCUUUUGGCGGGGACGAUAAUGACGGUACCCGCAGAAUAAGCCCCGGCUAACUUCGUGCCAGCCGCCGCGGUAA